CUGGUACAUUCGUUAUUCAAUAUUAGUUUAUUAGUAGUAAUUAUAACAAUAUUUACGAUUCUGGAGAAAAUCCAUAUUUGUAAUACUUGUGACUUAUUUUUUUCCUCACACUUUUCUGUUUCAUUGCUAUUAAAAUCAGAAGGGGUUUGAUACACUGUUAAAAAGAAAUAUGACUCGUUCACUGUUUCCCAAAUUUCCCAGAUCAUAUUAUUCAGAGAGGACUGGGGAGUUCACCUCAAAAGCACAGACACCCAAGCCCAAAACACUGAACUAUCUUUAAUGAAUAAAUCUGUUAAUCUGGUCAGCUUCGCAGUGAGUCUUAUAAUCAGGCUUUCCUGGGAUAUGCCUGGCUGGGAACGCCAGGCAGUUGCACCUAUCACGGGGGCCAGAGCCUACAAUUCCCAUGCUGCCCCCACGAACUCGCACAGAGCGAUCUCAAAGCUUGCUGGGAGUUGUAGUUUCUGUGGGACAGGCCUCUGCCUAUAAGAACGCCGGAGAUGGUUGCAGAAAACUAACUAUCCCACAAUGCAAAGGCCUUUUGUGACGUCAUCGGCCGCGGGCCGGGAACGCAGAGGUCGGCGUCCUCUACCACCACCUCGGCAGCCGCCACCACCGCCGCUGUCCUCGCCGCCGCCCCCACUUACACCACUGCUUUGGCCUGCUCCGCCGCCGCCCCCACCGGCAACUCCAUCGCUGCCUCUGUGGGGGCUUCCGCCUCUUUUGCAUAAUCUAAGCCCUCAGCCUCGGAGAAAAAGCCGUACAGAGUUUGUUUCGCUGGCCCGGGGCGCAGGCAUGGCUGAUGGCGGUAGCGGCGGUGGAGCGGGCGCUGUGGNCGGGCCGGAGGAGCUUGCCUGGAAAAGCCCGACCAGAGGGGAUUAAAACUGACAGCGUUUAGAGACAGACUGCGCCCCAAAUGACCUUAGUGCCCGAAGACCAGGCUCCAGGGAAGUUUUUCAUCUUAAUUAACUCGUCUUGCGGACAUCUAAAAUUAACGGAGCAAGAAGGCUGAGCCCAGGACGGAAUGGGCAGAUGUUUCCUUUAAAGUGAUUGUUUCAUUUUUCAAUUGCGCAAAUGACAUAGUCUGAACAUUUAGGGUUACUGUGAAUUUCCUUCUCUAAUGUCACCGUUCCACUUGCUUUCCUCUAGCAACAAGGAUCUUCCCAGAAUUCCUGUGUGCACACACGUGUGUGUUUGCGUGGAUGAUUUGGAUUUGUCAACACAAUUCUUUACACAAAUACCAUCUCUAUAUAGAAAGAUGAACAUUUCUGGGAAUUGCAUUUUUAAAUUUAAUAAAAUGGGAGGAUCAUUAUGUGACGUGUAUUAAGUUCCUCUCCUCUUCACAUGACCCUCUGAAGUAAAGGUUAUUGUCAUCUCUCAUGCUGCAGACAAACCAUAGCACAGAGAUGUUAAGCAAAUUAUCCAAGAUCACAGAGCACACACAUGGCAAAGCUGAUAUUUAAACGCUGGCCAUCUGGCUUUGGAGCAAAGGUGCUUACUCACUCUUCUGUUAUGCUGCAUUGUAAUCACGACAUCACAGUCUACAAAGAGAGAGAAAGGCCUG
ensembl:lincRNA